rnacentral:rRNA from 1 species
UACGUAGGGUCCGAGCGUUGUCCGGAAUUACUGGGCGUAAAGAGCUCGUAGGUGGUUUGUCGCGUUGUUCGUGAAAACUCACAGCUUAACUGUGGGCGUGCGGGCGAUACGGGCAGACUUGAGUACUGCAGGGGAGACUGGAAUUCCUGGUGUAGCGGUGAAAUGCGCAGAUAUCAGGAGGAACACCGGUGGCGAAGGCGGGUCUCUGGGAAGGUACCGACGCUGAGGAGCGAAAGCGUGGGGAGCAAACAGG